UUCCUGGUUUGCUGCUCUUGCUUUCCGCUCUGGGACACAGCAGUGACUCCUGCAGCCACGAGCACGGAAGUGACCUGCCAAAAAGGGACUAGAAGAGAAGAGAAAGAACCCGGCUCCAUGAGCGGCUGCGCAGGCUUAUGGACCGUCCCUCCAAAUUCCGGAAGUCUGGCCGAUGUUCAUUCCUGGAGGAUUGUGCCCGUAGAAACCAUCACCACAGAAGUGGCUUUGCCAACAUGACCUGUGAUUAAAUCUUCUUACUGGAAGGUCCUAGAAGACCAUGUAAGAAGAAGACACUGGACCAUUUGUUUCAAACUGUAGAUGUUCUGUAGGCCUCGUGGUCACUGUACUAGAAGUGUUUUUCAUC